GACAGGGGGCCAUGUCCAGCCCCCAGCCCCACCACACACCUCUAGACGGAACUCAUUGGAAGGUGCUGACCUCACAGUGGGACUGUGAGGCAGAGAGUGUGGGGGCAGGGCCUCAGAGCACUCACUCAGACUGACUUGAACUUCAUUCAUACUUGGAUGGAGCAGGUCAGUAUUUCCUGACUGAGAACAGCUGUUCUGGGACAGGGACAUAGGAGCCCAUGCUGUGUCCCACCAGGUUCUGUUGUGUAAGAGAAAGUACCUGGAGGCUCCUCCCGCAGCACACCCUGCUGCAGCCACACUGACAUGCGUCUUCGCAGCAGCGCCACAGGCAUCUUCACCACCUUGCUCAGCUCUUCCAAGGUCCAGCUGGCUGUGUGCAGAGCCACGGGAUGCAAGUACACCAGAGGUUAUGCCUGCUUCAAUACCUGUUAGCCAGCUGGACCCCCAGAUGCACGUGCAUUGUCCUGUGUAACUCAUAGGAAACAGACCAGGGAGGCAAUUCUCACCUUGUGAAACUCACGCAAGAAAGAGCGCUCAUACUCUCCUCGGCAGCGGUCUUCCAUCCUUUCCCGGGUCACCUGAUGCAGCGUGGUUGUCACGGCCUCAGCGCAAACCCGCUCCAACAGACUGAGCCUAUGCCUGGAGGAGAUCCCCACUCAUGGAGAAACCACAAUACACAUCUGUUCCUUACCUAGGACUCUUCCCAUAAAGAUACUGUACACAAACCCUA